UACGUAGGGUGCAAGCGUUAAUCGGAAUUACUGGGCGUAAAGCGUGCGCAGGCGGUGAUGUAAGACAGAUGUGAAAUCCCCGGGCUCAACCCGGGAACUGCGUCCGAUACUGGCAGGCUUGAAUUCGGGAGAGGGAUGUGGAAUUCCAGGUGUAGCGGUGAAAUGCGUAGAUAUCUGGAGGAACACCGGUGGCGAAGGCGGCAUCCUGGACCGAUAUUGACGCUGAUGCGCGAAAGCCAGGGGAGCAAACGGG
rnacentral:rRNA from 1 species